AAUCUUUUUUUAGAGUUCCCUCCUUGGUGAUGCUUUCUCCUGUGAACCUGGGCUCUUCUGGUACAGGUAAAAGGCGGGAGCCUCAGCAGGAGAUGGAAGGAAUGUGAAAACUGGAAUUCCCCUCCAGAAAAGGGAGGAAGCCACGCUCAGGAGGAUUCUUGGGCUUAUCACUGAUUAUGCUAACAACAAAACUAAACCCAGAAAAAUGGGUACUUGUGGACAGUAGGUGCGUGUUUGCUUGGUUUAGAGUUGGAGAUAUCUUAAUGUCUUAUUUAUAGCUUACCUUCAUCUUGACGUGACUAUUGUAUUAAAAAAAAAAAAGAAAGCAAGAUCAGAGGAGAGAUGUGGACAGCAGUGAAUUUGGAUUUCAGGAGAACUAGCAUCUGUGGCCUGUGUAUAUACUAAAUCUGACAUUCUGCCAUCACUAUGAGAGGGAUAUCGGCAAGAGAGAAAGGCUGGAGUGGGGAAAUAAAUGUGCAUAACCUCACACUGCCAGUCCUCCCAUGCAACUGGAUGCGUUAAGUUUCCUUGUGAAUGGAAUGAAAAUGGCGACUCGCAUAAUGCACUAAGGAUCUCAAGCUCACAUCAUUGGCAGAUGUUAACUGGGCAGAGGCACAAGGUAACGGUCUUUAUCCUGUAUCAGUGAACUCAGUAGGAGUAUUUAAAUUUAGUUUGAUGAAUACUGAUUUCUAGAGGGAGGGCUGCCAGGAUCCUACUAGCCAAAAUCUGUUCUGACUUCCAUUGCUACAUAUGCAGAGGUACUGGAGAAGAACAAAGGAGUCCACUCCUGCUCCAGUUGUUGUAGACAUUUAAGGAUUGUCACUGAACCUAUAUUACAGGAAAAAGGAGGAAAAUAGUGUUGUUUGCCACUUCAAACAUGUUCCACAAAAAUCAUUCUAACGAGGCAGGUUAUAAUUUUAUUUUCAAUUGUAGUGACAUUAAGCUUCAGUUCUUUAAGUAUUUAUAGCUUCAGAGCUUUCCAUUCUGUAUAGAUAUGCUCACCUUUGUACAAGAUGAAGAUUAAAUGAGUUGUUUAUGUCACUAAAACCUGAACAUGUUGUCCCUGACAGGUGAAAAAAUGUUCUCUCUUACAUAUUGGCAAACUGUAUGCUCACUGCCUUUUUGGUGUAAAUUAUCUGUGGUUUACUUUUUUUUUUAGUGGGUCGUCUUGAUAUUCCUGGCUAACAUCUUUGCAGCUUUAUUAGUACAUACACAACUCAAUAUUGCCUUGCACAAAGUGUUUUCUAUGGCUUCUAUACAAGAUUUUGUUUUUCUUAAUAUACUACAAACAUUGGCAAUCGAUGUGAUAUGUAUCAGAUCUUUACAUUUGAACUGUAAUUAGAUUACAGAAGGAAAUAUUUGUACUGGUUGCUGUUGUCCUGUUUUGAAAUUCAAGGAAUAUUGUUUUAAACACUGCUACAUUUAUUUUAAGAACUUCUAAAGUUUGACUUAUCCAUACAAAAUCUUUUAAGAUCUGUUGAACAGUGUUAUUCUGAGAAUUAUCCAUUUAUGCCUGGGGGAGUUCUUGCCUGUGAUGGAAAUGUUUAUGAAAAGUAUCUGUGAAUGGAAAAUCACUGUUGAAUCCUAAGGCCAAGCAGUGAAGAUUGCCAUAUUAGUUCAAGUUCAUAACCAUCAGAAACAAGGAACUUAGCCUUGCAUUUUUCUUGAUAAAUAUAUAUAUACAUAUAUGAGUUACAGACCAAUGAAAUUAAAGAUAAUUGUUUCAUAAAUACACUGGCUGUGUUUUUACCACAAAUCUUAACCAUACCAUUUGAUAACUUGGAAAGCUAAGGACGUUAGUGCCAAAAUAUAUAAUCACUACUAAUUAUGGCCAUUUACCUUGUUUAUUUGUGAUAGCAAGCUGCAUCAUUCUCUGCUCCUUUGAUAGUCUCUGCCUAGCAACACUGGCUCUAUUUGCUCUCUUCUGUUUUCUGAAAGCAGUUCACUUUUCCCUAGUCCAAGCAGUCUGCUUUCAAACACCUUUCUCUGCCUAAGCCAGUGCAGCAGUGCUUUACAGUGCAGACAUCGCGUUACCAGAAGAAGAGAAUUUUUAGAUCCUCAUCAGCAUCUCCCUGUUCGUUCUGCCAUGUCCUGCUUCAUUAUGCUUUAAUUUGAACAUUUGUAAUGAUUUCAUAUAAUCAUCAGAUGUUUGAAUAGGAAAACUGUUCUCUAAUCCUUUUUCAAUUUUCUGCUCAUAUGAAUCUGAAGAAAUCAUUUCAGUGUUUAAACUAU
ensembl:lncRNA